rnacentral:lncRNA from 1 species
CCAGGUUUUAAAAGUCUGCCUCAGUUAAUGUGGUUGCAAUUAAGGAAUCGCAUGAUGGUUUUUGCAAGUCUUAAUGGUGAAAAAUUAAAAGCAGCAAAGCUUCAAAUGGAUCCACAAUGAAAGCAUGUUUUAAAGCCUCUGGAGGAGACAAGUGCUGUUCAGAGCAUUUUAAGCCCUUCGUCUUUCACCACAGACACCAGCAGACCUGACGGGACGCUGCAGAGGCAGCAGCUGCAGUGAGCAGGCAUGAUGAAAGCACCAGGCCGUGAAGCCCCAUUAGGAAAAGAUUUAAGUGGCAUAUUUACAUCCUGUCUGCAUGGGAACUUGAUAAACAGCUCCAGCAAAUUGGAUGGGAAUGCAGAGGAAAAGAAGAUCUUCACGAGGAUUUCUACAAUCAGCCUUGGCAUCAGCACCCAGCGGCCUCAUUGGCCCUGUGAUUUUUGCUGCCUUCCUUCAGUUGCUCUACUUGACAGCAAAGACUGCUGACAGCCCAGCUGAAUUCCCUAAACUCUGAUUGUCUAUCAGACCAAAAGAUGACAAAUGAGGUUUUCACGCUCAUUGAUGAGCACAUCACGAAAAUGACAUAAUGGUGUAAUUUUUUUGCCCGAAGACAAGGAACAAGAUGUACUGGAAAUCAUUGUGUUUCAUGUUUUUGUUCCCUUCCCACCUUCAUCUGACCACAGUUGUCACUCAGAACUCUUAGAGAGGAGCAGAAACGGCUGCCGUCCUUUGAGUGGCUGUCUGGGUGUGUGUCCAGGUCAAGGUCACACUUAUCAGUGCCCAGGACAUGCUUUUCGUACUGGGAGGGGUUAUCCCAGGAACAUUUUACAGGCUGUUAACUGACAGCCUUAAAAUUGGAUGUGACACCCUGAAUAACACCUUUUGGGGGAGAAAACUUGACAGACACCCAUCUAGAGAAAUAACGACCUAUUUAUGUCCCACCUAAACAAUACUUGAGCAGUACACGAGUUCUUGAAGAGAAGAGUUUGAAGAACUUUGUGAUACUGCUCUUGAGCCACUUUUGACAAUGAGCCCAAAUGAACUUGUUCAGUUAUUCAGGUUGGAGUUAGUAUCCAGGUGAACAGUUUGGUGUAGGGUUUUGUUUUUUUUAGUCUUAUGAAAAGUCAUUCAGUGUCACCCACUGACCAGCUCAGCCUAGACCCACACGCAGGUUCAGCUUGAAAGUCCUGACUUCUGCCCCAUGGGUGGGGCAGGGUUCCCAGAGAGCUGGUGCUUCCAUCAGACAGAUGGCCUGUGAUGAGUCUACAGGGCUUCCAAACUACAACCAGAAAGUUUGCUGUUUUCUCUAAAGGGUGCUUUAUAGAAUUUUAUUUUAAACAAGAUUCUAAAUUCAGGAGGUUAAGCCAAAAAUGGGCAUGAUGGAAAUUACCAUUCAAAUAUGCAUAGUUUUUUCCCCUUUAUUAGUACAGGCCACCAUUUCUUUGGUUUAGUAUAAGCUAACUCAGUGAGCUUGUGUUCUGUUGGC